rnacentral:rRNA from 1 species
GACGAACGCUGGCGGCGUGCUUAACACAUGCAAGUCGAACGGAAAGGCCUGCUUUCCCUUGUGGAUUGUGGGUACUCGAGUGGCGAACGGGUGAGUAACACGUGAGUGAUCUGCCCCCAACUUGGGUAUAAGCCUGGGAAACUGGGUCUAAUUCCCGAUAGGACUGCAGGGUGGUGCCUGUGGUGGAAAACGAUUUUCUAGUGGUUGGGGAUGAGCUCGCGGCCUAUCAGCUUGUUGGUGGGGUAAUGGCCUACCAAGGCGGCGACGGGUAGCCGGCCUGAGAGGGUGGACGGCCACAUUGGGACUGAGAUACGGCCCAGACUCCUACGGGAGGCAGCAGUGGGGAAUAGUGCACAAUGGGCGGAAGCCUGAUGCAGCGACGCCGCGUGGGGGAUGACGGCCUUCGGGUGGUAAACUCCUUUCGACCGCGAGGAAGCCACCUGGUUGGAAGGGUGGUGACGGUAGUGGUAGAAGAAGCACCGGCUAACUACGUG